CCUACGGGUGGCAGCAGUAGGGAAUCUUCGUCAAUGGACGCAAGCCUGAACGAGUAAUGCCGCGUGAACGAGGAAGGUCUUCGGAUCGUAAAGUUCUGUUGAAGGGGAAAAAGAGCGGAGAGAGGAAAUGGUCUCCGAUUGAUAUUACCCUUCGAGGAAGUCACGGCUAACUACGUGCCAGCAGCCGCGGUAAUACGUAGGUGGCGAGCGUUAUCCGGAAUGAUUGGGCGUAAAGUGUGCGUAGGCGGCCUGCUAAGUCUGGAGUGAAAGGUGACGGCUCAACCGGUACAGGCUCUGGAAACUGGCGGGCUAGAGGGCAGGAGAGGGGGGUGGAACUCCAUGUGUAGCGGUAAAAUGCGUAGAUAUAUGGAAGAACACCAGUGGCGAAGGCGGCCGCCUGGCCUGUUACUGACGCUGAGGCACGAAAGCGUGGGGAGCAAAUAGGAUUAGAUACCCUUGUAGUC
rnacentral:rRNA from 1 species